rnacentral:rRNA from 1 species
AGUAACACGUAUGCAACCUGCCUGCCACAGCCGGAUAAUCGGGAGAAAUUCCGUCUAAUACGGCAUAAUGCAUCGACGGGACAUCCUGUUGGUGCCAAAGGUUGAUUCCGGUGGCGGAUGGGCAUGCGUCGCAUUAGUUAGUUGGCAGUGUAACGGACCACCAAGACGACGAUGCGUAGGGGUUCUGAGAGGAAGGUCCCCCACACUGGUACUGAGACACGGACCAGACUCCUACGGAAGGCAGCAG